rnacentral:lncRNA from 1 species
GCAGCCAGAAACACCAACACACACACACACACACACACACCUGUCCUUCACUCUUUGUAAAAACACCUGUACCUGCAUAGGUCAUUUCUAGCCAAGAUGGUGGGUGUCCCACAGGGCUUCAAAAAGUUGCGUUGGGAAUGUGCAGUGGUUAGUGUAGCCUCUUCUGGUCUGGCCGUUUGGGGAUGAUGGGGUUUGUACUCUAGCCCCCAGCUCCCCUUUUUGAGGGCACCAGCACAGAGCACACGGAACAGACCCAUUGGAAUGAAUCGGGAGGCUUAACGCCAGUUAGGAAGGCGUGGACGUUUCUCCCCUUUGAUUUUCAGUGGGUCUCUUGGGAAUCUCGGGGGAGACCCUGGUCCGGAUCUCCCUUCAACCGAGAAGGGAGAGGGGAUAAUAAUCCCCGAGUCCCAGUCCAGCUGCUCGCACAGGCUCCUUGGAAACCCAAAAUGGUAGUCAAGGACGCCGCCUUGAGCUCACAGGAGGAAAGGCGUCACAAUCCUGCCACCAAUACAACAGAAAAUAAAUGAUCUGGCUACGGAUGCUCUGCUAAGGAGACUGUUAAAACAAUGGAUUUAACUUUUCAGAAAACCUGGGCAGGAUCUGCACCGUCCCUCUCCGAUCCUACCCACUGUUACCGGAGAGUAAACCCAAUGGAAAAAAAAAUGCAAUUAAUAAGAAUUCGCACCGAGGCGGUGCUAGUGGGAUUUCCUCUAAGUGGACGCCUCGGGCGAGUUGAUUAAGACCCACCCUCACGGAAAACAAUGGGUGCACAUAAACAGACAAGACGGGACCCGAUUCUGCAGCGGCCGAUCGUUUGCAUUUCCUCCCAUUUCCAUGGUGGAAUUCUGAACGAGGAUCAAAGAUCUCUGAUGCCGCAAACAGACUUUCUUGUAUAAACCCUAGCGCACGCUGGCUCUUCCUUCCAGGUCAACACGUGAAGGAUCGGGCCGGCACUGUACGUGGAUCGCGCCCUUCAACCCAAACAGCUGCGGAUGGCGUGAAAUUAUAAGAAUAGUUCCUGUCGGUCUCCUCCGUUUUUGAUCCUAGGGAAGCAAACCGGCUCAAGAGGAGAUCUCCGCACCAGGAAGAAAGUUCUGUUUUCUUCCGAGUAAAGCAUUAACAACGUUAUGCCCGAAAUAGUGCUUAGUAGGAAGGAAGACCAAGUAGACUCAAUAGAUUUCUCUUUCUUUCCAUUUUAAUCUUGGGCCCAAAUUUGCUGAGGAAUAAUAAUAAAAACAACUGCGUGUUACUAGUUUUUUUGUUU